rnacentral:rRNA from 1 species
GAGGCAAUAACAGGUCUGUGAUGCCCUUAGAUGUUCUGGGCCGCACGCGCGCUACACUGACGGGUUCAUCGAGCUAAGCAUUUGUUACCUUGACUGACAGGUCUGGGGAAUCUUGGAAUGCCCGUCGUGCUGGGGAUAGACCCUUGGAAUUAUGGAUCUUGAACGAGGAAUUCCUAGUAAACGCAAGUCAUCAGCUUGCAUUGAUUACGUCCCUGCCCUUUGUACACACCGCCCGUCGCUACUACCGAUUGAAUGGAUUAGUGAGCUUCAGGGAUUGUGGCCUCGUUGUGGCAACACAAUGCUGUGUCGCGAGAACUGAAUCAAACUUGCUCAUUUAGAGGAAGUAAAAGUCGUAACAAGGUCUCCGUAGGUGAACCUGCGGA